GAUGAACGCUGGCGGCGUGCCUAAUACAUGCAAGUCGAGCGAACAGACGAGGAGCUUGCUCCUCUGACGUUAGCGGCGGACGGGUGAGUAACACGUGGAUAACCUACCUAUAAGACUGGGAUAACUUCGGGAAACCGGAGCUAAUACCGGAUAAUAUAUUGAACCGCAUGGUUCAAUAGUGAAAGACGGUUUUGCUGUCACUUAUAGAUGGAUCCGCACCGCAUUAGCUAGUUGGUAAGGUAACGGCUUACCAAGGCAACGAUGCGUAGCCGACCUGAGAGGGUGACCGGCCACACUGGAACUGAGACACGGUCCAGACUCCUACGGGAGGCAGCAGUAGGGAAUCUUCCGCAAUGGGCGAAAGCCUGACGGAGCAACGCCGCGUGAGUGAUGAAGGUCUUCGGAUCGUAAAACUCUGUUAUUAGGGAAGAACAAAUGUGUAAGUAACUAUGCACGUCUUGACGGUACCUAAUCAGAAAGCCACGGCUAACUACGUG
rnacentral:rRNA from 1 species